rnacentral:lncRNA from 1 species
CUUACCGAAUCCGUGGCCAGGGAGGCCGUCCUCGCCGGAUCUGCGACAAGUGGGCUUCUCGUCGAUUCUUGCCAGAUCCACCAAGCUUCAUGUGGAUCCAGCGCACCACCAUCGUCAGGAGGAGGGGAAGGAGGGGAGAUGAGACCCGGUGUGUGUGGAAGGCCACCGAGCCGAGCGGCCGCUGCCAGGGAGCGAGGUCCUCCCAAUCCGCCCCCAUUCUUGCACACCCCGAGCACCGAGCACGGACCCUACUGUAGGGGCGCUGCCCACCACCACCGCAAGCGUGGCCCUAGCAUCAGUAGUGCCAAGUGGGAGAGAGAGAGCACAUAUCAGAAAGAGAGAGCGUCAGUGGAUCUGAGAGAGAGGGGUGAGGGAGAGAGUGCCACUCGGCUGAGGGAGAGGGAGGAGGAGU